rnacentral:rRNA from 1 species
GGAGGCCAUUGCUAUCAGGGUUUGACUAAGCCAUGCGAGUCGAGAGGUGUAAGACCUCGGCAUACUGCUCAGUAACACGUGGUUAACCUGCCCUAAGGUGGAGAAUACUCCCGGGAAACUGGGGCUAAUGCUCCAUAGUGGAUAUGUCCUGGAAUGGUAUAUCCUCGAAAGAUCCGUCGCCUUAGGAUGGGACUGCGUCCGAUUAGGUUGUUGGCGGGGUAACGGCCCACCAAGCCUUUUAUCGGUACGGGUUGUGGGAGCAAGAUCCCGGAGAUGGAUUCUGAGACAUGAAUCCAGGCCCUACGGGGCGCAGCAGGCGCGCAAACUUUACAAUGCGAGCAAUCGUGAUAAGGAAACCCUGAGUGCCUGUCGAUGCAGGCUGUUCAUAUAUCUAAAUCAUAUGUGAAGAAAGGGCAGGGCAAGACCGGUGCCAGCCGCCGCGGUAAUACCGGCUGCUCGAGUGAUGGCCACUAUUACUGGGUUUAAAGCGUCCGUAGCUUGACUGUUAGGUCUCUUGGGAAAUCUUCGCGCUCAACGUGAAGGCGUCUAAGAGAUACCGGCAGUCUUGGAACUGGGAGAG